CCUAACUCCUGCAGCCCAUCAACUGAACUCAUUUGUAACCCUGAGAAGGAGAGGGAGAGAGCUGCGGCGACAGAGCAUGUGUGUUAGCUUCGCAUAACCCGGCCNUCGUAUAACCCGGCCUUUUUCUUGCUAUCCAGGUUUCUCAAUUGCCAUUCCAUUUCCUCUCCCUUGGUUUCAUCGUCUUCUAUUGUUGGAUUCUUCAACCGCGC
rnacentral:misc_RNA from 1 species